rnacentral:rRNA from 1 species
AUUGAACGCUGGCGGCAGGCCUAACACAUGCAAGUCGAGCGGAUGAAGGGAGCUUGCUCCUGGAUUCAGCGGCGGACGGGUGAGUAAUGCCUAGGAAUCUGCCUGGUAGUGGGGGAUAACGUCCGGAAACGGGCGCUAAUACCGCAUACGUCCUGAGGGAGAAAGUGGGGGAUCUUCGGACCUCACGCUAUCAGAUGAGCCUAGGUCGGAUUAGCUAGUUGGUGGGGUAAAGGCCUACCAAGGCGACGAUCCGUAACUGGUCGGAGAGGAUGAUCAGUCACACUGGAACUGAGACACGGUCCAGACUCCUACGGGAGGCAGCAGUGGGGAAUAUUGGACAAUGGGCGAAAGCCUAAUCCAGCCAUGCCGCGUGUGUGAAGAAGGUCUUCGGAUUGUAAAGCACUUUAAGUUGGGGGGAAGGGAAGUAAGUUAAUACCUUGCUGUUUUGACGUUACCAACAGAAUAAGCACCGGCUAACUUCGUG